rnacentral:rRNA from 1 species
AUGGCUCAGUGAGGCCUUGGGACUGGCUCAGAGAGGUCGGCAACGACCACUCAGAGCCGGAAACUUGGUCAAACUUGGUCAUUUAGAGGAAGUAAAAGUCGUAACAAGGUUUCCGUGCCUAACACCCUCCGGGGUUCGAGGCCGGGAUGAGAAGUGAUUCCUUCCACAGGUGGCGCUUCGGAAGCCUUAGCAGCCUGAAAAGGUGGCCCUCUGACGACGAUAAAAUAAAAAGAGGUGCUGAAAUGCUAGUCAGUUAGCACACUGGCGACACCGUCAAAUUGCGGGAACCCCCUAAAGACUUCUGCUACCAAGCAGUGCUGGGAAACCUCACUGUGGCCAGGGUAAUGACCUCGGGUAUGGUAACAACGCAGAGUAUGAUCCUCUGGUAUUCAGUGGUGAAAUGGGCAAUCUGCAGCCAAGUCCGUCGUGCUCCUCUGGGGUGCCGGAUGCCGUUCACAGGCCAAAUGGUGGUGGGUUGACUUGGGCAUCAAGUCAGCUUAAGAUAUGGUCGGACCCCUGGGAAACCUUGCGGGAUAGUCACCAUGUAGUUAAAUGGAGGCGGGGAGCGAAAAAGUGCAAGCUUCUCACCAUGGGCGACUACGACAACCAGCUAUACAGCACACACGCUCCUGGGCGUACCACAAAAAUGUUCCGUAGGUGAACCUGCGGAAGGAUCAUUAACGAGUUAAGGUCUUCCAGGCCUGACCUCCCAACCCUAUGUUUACUGAACCUUCGUUGCUUCGGCGGACCCGCCUCUCGGCCGCCGGAGGACCGCCUCACGGCGUCCUCUGGCCCGCGUCCGUCGACGGCCAAUCUCAAAAACGCUGAAAUAACCGUGUCGUCUGUCUCAGUCCCAUGAUUUAAAUUAAAGCAAAACUUUCAACAACGGAUCUCUUGGUUCUGGCAUCGAUGAAGAACGCAGCGAAAUGCGAUAAGUAAUGCGAAUUGCAGAAUUCCAGUGAGUCAUCGAAUCUUUGAACGCACAUUGCGCCCUUUGGCAUUCCGAAGGGCAUGCCUGUUCGAGCGUCAUUAUCACCCCUCGGGCCCUGUGCUCGAUGUUGGACGGCUGGUUGGGCAACCGACCCCUCCUAAAGACAAUGACGGCGGCCUGUGGCGCCCCCGGUACACUGAGCUUUUCACGGAGCACGUACCGGACGAGGGCGCCCGGGACCCGGUCCUCUCCUUUCACUAGGAACCUUCUCAAGGUUGACCUCGGAUCAGGUAGGAAUACGCGCUGAACUUAAGCAUAUCAAUAAGCGCAGGAAAAGAAACCAACAGGGAUUACCUCAGUAACGGCGAGUGAAGCGGUAAUAGCUCAAAUUUGAAAUCUGGCCUCUCGGGGGUCCGAGUUGUAAUUUGUAGAGGACGUUUUGGGUACCGCCCCGGUCUAAAUUUCUUGGAACAGAAUGUCAUAGAGGGUGAGAAUCCCGUCUUGGACCGGCGGUAGGGCCUGUGUAAAACUCCUUCGACGAGUCGAGUUGUUUGGGAAUGCAGCUCAAAAUGGGUGGUAAAUUUCAUCUAAAGCUAAAUAUUGGCCAGAGACCGAUAGCGCACAAGUAGAGUGAUCGAAAGAUGAAAAGCACUUUGAAAAGAGAGUUAAACAGUAUGUGAAAUUGUUGAAAGGGAAGCGCUUGCAACCAGACUUGAGCGCGGCGGUUCCCCCGGCCUUUUGGCCGGGCUACUCCGCCGUGUCCAGGCCAACAUCGGUUCUGAGGGUCGGUCAAAGGCCCCGGGAAUGUAUCUACCCACGGGUAGACUUAUAGACCGGGGUGUCAUGCGGCCCCUCGGGACCGAGGAACGCGCUUCGGCUCGGAUGUUGGCGUAAUGGUUGUCAGCGACCCGUCUUGAAACACGGACCAAGGAGUCUAACAUCUAUGCGAGUGUUUGGGUGUCAAACCCGGAACGCGAAAUGAAAGUGAACGGAGGUAGGAAGCUUCGGCUGCACUAUCGACCGAUCCUGAAGUUUACGGAAGGAUUUGAGUAAGAGCAUAGCUGUUGGGACCCGAAAGAUGGUGAACUAUGCCUGAAUAGGGUGAAGCCAGAGGAAACUCUGGUGGAGGCUCGCAGCGGUUCUGACGUGCAAAUCGAUCGUCAAAUUUGGGUAUAGGGGCGAAAGACUAAUCGAACCAU